rnacentral:lncRNA from 1 species
AUGCCUCAGUUUUCCCUUUGUGCCUCAGUUUCCCCCUUUGUGCCUCAGUUUCUCCAUCCUGCCUCAGUUUCCCAUCAUGCCUCAGUUUCCCCAUCGUGCCUCAGUUUCUCCAUCGUGCCUCAGUUUCCCAACCGUGCCUCAGUUUCCCCAUCGUGCCUCAGUUUCCCCCUCUGUGCCUCAGUUUCCCCCUUGGUGCCUCAGUUUCCCCUUUGUGCCUCAGUUUCCCCUCUGUGCCUCAGUUUCCCCUUGGUGCCUCAGUUUCCCCUUGGUGCCUCAGUUUCCCACCGUGCCUCAGUUUCCCUUUGUGCCUCAGUUUCCCCUUUUGUGCCUCAGUUUCCCCUCUGUGCCUCAGUCUCCCCUUUUGUGCCUCAGUUUCCCUUUGUGCCUCAGUUUCAACCUGUGUGCCUCAGUUUCCCAUCGUGCCUCAGUUUCCCUUUGAGCCUCAGUUUCCCCCUUUGUGCCUCAGUUUCCCAUCGUGCCUCAGUUUCCCCUCUGUGCCUCAGUUUCCCUUUGUGCCUCAGUUUCCCCUCGUGCCUCAGUUUCCCCUCUGUGCCUCAGUUUCCCAUUGUGCCUCAGUUUCCCCCCGUGCCUCAGUUUCCCCUUUGUGCCUCAGUUUCCCCAUCGUGCGUCAGUUUCCCAUCGUGCCUCGGUAUCCCCUCUGUGCCUCAGUUUCCCCUCUGUGCCUCAGUUUCCCACCCUGCCUCAGUUUCCCCUCUGUGCCUCCGUUUCCCCAUCGUGCCUCAGUUUCCCCAUCGUGCCUCAGCUUCCCCUUUGUGCCUCAGUUUCCCCUUUUGUGCCUCAGUUUCCCUUUGUGCCUCAGUUUCCCCAUCAUGCCUCAGUUCCCCACCGUGCCUCAGUUUCCCCUUGUACCUCAGAUUCCCCUCUGUGCCUCAGUUUCCCCUUCGUGCCUCAGUUUCCCCUCUGUGCCUCAGUUUCCCACCAUGCCUCAGUUUCCCACAGUGCCUCAGUUUUCCCCUCUGUGCCUCAGNCAAGGUCAAGAUGAACCCAAAGUCAAGACCGAUCCAAUGUCGAGACCAAUCCAAGGCCAACCCAACAUCAAGACCAACUUGA